rnacentral:rRNA from 1 species
UACGUAGGGACCAAGCGUUGUUCGGAUUUACUGGGCGUAAAGGGCGCGUAGGCGGCAAUUCAAGUCAUCUGUGAAAUCUCCGGGCUUAACUCGGAACGGUCAGGUGAUACUGCUUUGCUAGAGUGCAGAAGGGGCAAUCGGAAUUCUUGGUGUAGCGGUGAAAUGCGCAGAUAUCAGGAAGAACACCGGUGGCGAAGGCGGUGGGCUGGGCCGGCACUGACGCUGAGGAGCGAAAGCGUGGGGAGCGAACAGG